UGAUGACGAGACGCUAAGGCGUUGAAGCAGUGUAUGUCAGACUUCCAAGAAAAGCUCGCAAUGUCACAAAUAAAAAUGCCUGUACCAUAACCGACACAGGUGGGUAGGUAGAGUAUACUAAGGGGCGCGAGAUAACUCUCUCUAAGGAACUCGGCAAAAUGACUCCGUAACUUCGGGAGAAGGAGUGCCUUAUUUAUAAGGUUGCAAUAACAAGAUCCAAGCAACUGUUUAUCAAAAACACAGGUCUCCGCUAAGUCGUAAGACGAUGUAUGGGGGCUGACGCCUGCCCAGUGCCAGAAGGUUAAAGAAGUUGGUUAGUGUAUGCGAAGCUGAUGACUGAAGCCCUGGUGAACGGCGGCCGUAACCAUAACGGUCCUAAGGUAGCGAAAUUCCUUGUCGGGUAAGUUCCGACCCGCACGAAAGGCGUAAUGAUUUGGAUACUGUCUCGGAGAGAGGCUCGGUGAAAUAGACUUGUCUGUGAAGAUGCGGACUACCUGCACCAGGACAGAAAGACCCUAUGAAGCUUUACUGUAACUUGAAAUUGGAAUUGGACUUUGCUUGCGCAGUAUAGGUGGGAAGCGUUGAAAAUAUUCUUGCGGGAGUAUUGGAGCUAUCAGUGAGAUACCACUCUUGUAAUGUUAGAUUUCUAACUUUGAACCAUAAUCUGGUCAAAGAACAGUUUCAGGUGGGCAGUUUGACUGGGGCGGUCGCCUCCCAAAUGGUAACGGAGGCGUACAAAGGUUUCCUCUGAACGGAUAGAAAUCGUAUCUAGAGUAUAAAGGCAUAAGGAAGCUUGACUGUGAGACCUACAAGUCGAGCAGGGACGAAAGUCGGUCUUAGUGAUCUGACGGUACUGAGUGGAAAGGCCGUCACUCAACGGAUAAAAGUUACUCUAGGAUAACAGGCUGAUCUCCCCCAAGAGUUCACAUCGACGGGGAGGUUUGGCACCUCGAUGUCGGCUCAUCGCAUCCUGGGGCGGUAGUACGUCCCAAGGGUUGGGCUGUUCGCCCAUGAAAGCGGUACGCGAGCUGGGUUCAGAACGUCGUGAGACAGUUCGGUCCAUAUCCGGUGUAGGCGCUAGAAUAUUGAGAGGAGCCUUCUUUAGUACGAGAGGACCGAGAAGGACACACCGCUGGUGUACCAGUUAUCGUGCCAACGGUAAACGCUGGGUAGCUAUGUGUGGAGUGGAUAACCGCUGAAAGCAUCUAAGUGGGAAGCCCACCUCGAGAUGAA
rnacentral:rRNA from 1 species